AGCUUUCGGAGCUCGGCGUACCGCUCAGUAACACGUGGGUAACCUAACCUAUGCAGGGGAAUAACCUCGGGAAACUGAGUAUAAUGCCCCAUAGUCCACUACGCCUGGAACGGUGAGUGGAUCAAAGCUCAGGCGGCAUAGGAUGGGCCUGCGGCGUAUCAGGUUGUAGGGGGUGUAAAGUACCCUCUAGCCAUCUACGCGUACGGGUGUUGGGAGACAUAGCCCGGAGAUGGAUUCUGAGACACGAAUCCAGACCCUACGGGGUGCAGCAGGCGCGAAAACUUGACAAUGCGAGCAAUCGUGAUCAGGGAACUCCAAGUGGCUGGGGUAAGACCCAGUCUUUUCAUAACUCUUCAAAGGUUGUAGAAUAAGGGGUGGGUAAGGACGGUGCCAGCCGCCGCGGUAAUACCGGCGCCUCAAGUGGUAGUCGCUUUUAUUGGGCCUAAAACGUCCGUAGCAGGUUUGGUACAUUCGUGGGUAAAUCAACUCGCUCAACGAGUUGAAUUCUGCGAGGACGGCCAGACUUGGGACCGGGAGAGGUGUGGGGUACUCUCAGGGUAGGGGUAAAAUCCUGUCAUCCUGAGAGGACCACCUGUUGCGAAGGCGCCACACUAGAACGGAUCCGACGGUCAGGGACGAAGCCUAGGGGCACGAACCGGAUUAGAUACCCGGGUAGUCCUAGGUGUAAACGCUGUGGACUUGAUGUUGGAGAAGCUCCGAGCUUCUUCAGUGUCGAAGCGAAGGUG
rnacentral:rRNA from 1 species